AGAAUCAACGCUGGCGGCGUGCCUAACACAUGCAAGUCGAACGCGAAAGCCCCGCAAGGGCAAGUAGAGUGGCAAACGGGUGAGUAACACGUGGUGACCUGCCUUCGAGCGGGGAUAACGUCCCGAAAGGGACGCUAAUACCGCAUAACAUCCUGCCUUUGAAGAGGCGGAGAUCAAAGCUGGGGAUCGCAAGACCCGGCACUUGAAGAGGGGCCCGCGUCUGAUUAGCUAGUUGGUGGGUAAUGGCCUACCAAGGCAACGAUCAGUA
rnacentral:rRNA from 1 species